rnacentral:rRNA from 1 species
UAAGUUAUGUUAAUUUAGUUAGUUUUUGGUUAAUGUGCCUUUUGCAUCAUGCUUUAAUAAGUUAAUAAAAAAUUUUUUUUACCGAAAACCUUAGAUCUUAUAUUGAAUUGAAAUUGAUUAUAUCGGGUAGAUUAUAGGUAAAUUGAAUGUAAGUUGUGAUAAAUUAAUCGAUGGGGUUUAUAUCUGUUUAAUGGUUAAGUAUUUUAGUUUAAUUAGAUAGCGAGGAUGUUAUUUAAAGAGGUAUACUUAGGUUAUUAUGUGUUAGUAUAAGGUUAAAAGUACCUAUUACUUAAAAGAUUGUUAUAGAUGAGCAUAAAAUGAGGGAACAAGUUAUUUUAAAAGACCAUUUUUCUUGACAGGUUGUUGAAUAUUUAUGUUUAAAUAAGUAAUGUUAAUAUUUUUAUUGUUUCUCAAGUUUUGCCCGUCUGUUUAUUAAAAACAUUUCCAUUUUUAAAUUUUUAUGGUAGUGCCUGCUCUAUGCUUAUUGUAAAUGGCCGCAGUAUCUUGACUGUGCGAAGGUAGCAUAAUUAAUUGCCUUGUAAUUGAAGGCUUGUUUGAAUGGUUUGACGUGGUAAUUUCAAACAUUAAAAAUUUUUUUGAAAUUAUUAUAGAGGGCACAGAAACCUCUUAUUUUAAUUAGACGGAAAGACCCCGGGAUCUUUCUUUUUUGUCUGGGGCAGAUAGAAAUAUUUUAUUUAGAUUGCGACCCUUUUAUAGUUUAGUGAGUUAAGUUACCCCGGGGAUAACAGUAUAAUAGCUUAAUAGAGAUCUUAUCGAUUAAGUUGCUUGUUACCUCGAUGUUGACUUAGGUUUUAAUUUGGGCGCAGUAGUCUGAAUUUUAGGUCUGUUCGACCUAGUAGCCUCCAUGAGUUGAGUUAAGACCGGUGCGAGCCAGGUCGGUUCUUAUCUAUUACUCUAGUUUAUUAGUACGAAAGGAUUGUAAAUUAUUUUAUU